rnacentral:rRNA from 1 species
UUUAGACAAUCUUCCCUCGAGUGGGAAACAACCUGGCGAAAGUCGGGCUAAUGUCCCAUAAGACCACAGAGUGGCAUCAUUCAGAGGUCAAAGGUCCGCAAGGGCCGCUGGAGGAGGAGUCUAAAUCCUAUCAUGGUAGUUGGUGAGGUAACGGCUCACCAAGCCUACGACGGGUAGCCGGCCUGAAAGGGUGAUCGGCCACACUGGCACUGAGACACGGGCCAG